rnacentral:rRNA from 1 species
UGGGGAAUAUUGGACAAUGGGCGAAAGCCUGAUCCAGCCAUGCCGCGUGUGUGAAGAAGGCCUUUUGGUUGUAAAGCACUUUAAGCGAGGAGGAGGCUACUUGGAUUAAUACUCUAGGAUAGUGGACGUUACUCGCAGAAUAAGCACCGGCUAACUCUGUGCCAGCAGCCGCGGUAAUACAGAGGGUGCGAGCGUUAAUCGGAUUUACUGGGCGUAAAGCGUGCGUAGGCGGCUUUUUAAGUCGGAUGUGAAAUCCCUGAGCUUAACUUAGGAAUUGCAUUCGAUACUGGGAAGCUAGAGUAUGGGAGAGGAUGGUAGAAUUCCAGGUGUAGCGGUGAAAUGCGUAGAGAUCUUGGAGGAAUACCGAUGGCGAAGGCAGCCAUCUGGCCUAAUACUGACGCUGAGGUACG